GAUGAACGCUGGCGGCGUGCCUAAUACAUGCAAGUCGAGCGAAUGGAUUGAGAGCUUGCUCUUAUGAAGUUAGCGGCGGACGGGUGAGUAACACGUGGGUAACCUGCCCAUAAGACUGGGAUAACUCCGGGAAACCGGGGCUAAUACCGGAUAACAUUUUGAACCGCAUGGUUCGAAAUUGAAAGGCGGCUUCGGAUGUCACUUAUGGAUGGACCCGCGUCGCAUUAGCUAGUUGGUAAGGUAACGGCUCACCAAGGCAACGAUGCGUAGCCGACCUGAGAGGGUGAUCGGCCACACUGGGACUGAGACACGGCCCAGACUCCUACGGGAGGCAGCAGUAGGGAAUCUUCCGCAAUGGACGAAAGUCUGACGGAGCAACGCCGCGUGAGUGAUGAAGGCUUUCGGGUCGUAAAACUCUGUUGUUAGGGAAGAACAAGUGCUAGUUGAAUAAGCUGGCACCUUGACGGUACCUAACCAGAAAGCCACGGCUAACUACGUGCCAGCCGCCGCGGUAA
rnacentral:rRNA from 1 species